GCGAACAUGAUGGAAUUGGUAAACAUACUUUUUUUAAGCAGAAGUGGAUUUAAUCCUUAAGAGUUCGAGUCUCUUUGUUCGUA
rnacentral:tRNA from 1 species